rfam:Myotis brandtii contig304331, whole genome shotgun sequence.
GGUGGUUCUCUGGUGACACACCUCAGAAUUGGGCCCCCUCCUCUCUGGUUCUGGGUGCAAUAUAUGAGAACUGCU